rnacentral:misc_RNA from 1 species
CAGAGUUCAUGCCCUCACGGGUAGAUCUCCCACCCUUGAAUAACAUACCUUCGUUGCUUUGGCAGGGCGCACUCGUGCCAGAGGCUUCGGCUUCUGAGCCCCUGCCAGAGGACCACAACUCUUGUUUUUAGUGAUGUCUGAGUACUAUAUAAUAGUUA